CAUCGUGAGGUGGAAUCUGAAGGAAGCCGGAUGUCAAGGUGAGGAGCCUUGGCGGGCAAACUCCUGAACCGACGAACAGAAAUCACAUAGUAGGCCGCACAGGGACGGACGAGUGUGCCAAACAACACAAAGUCCAAUGCUGUCCGAAUCCCGUGCGGUAAAUGUGGCGGCUACAUAGGAGGAAAGUUGU
rnacentral:ncRNA from 1 species